rfam:Dipodomys ordii contig_9459, whole genome shotgun sequence.
GGGACUGUGGCUUAGUGGUAGAGUGCUUGCCUAGCAUGCAUGAAGCCCUGGGUUUGUUUCCUCAGUACCA